rnacentral:miRNA from 1 species
GAGCAGACACAUUCCAGCCAAUCAGCAGCAGACCCUCCCUCCCAGACCCUCCCACCUCCUGGACAGCAUCCAUUUUACAUUCAUUGUGAAGCUGCAUUCUGAGUGAGCUGUCCAGGAGGUGGGAGGGUCUGGGAGGGAGAGUCUGCUGCUGAUUGGCUGGAAUGUGUCUGCUG